rnacentral:misc_RNA from 1 species
AUGACGAUGUGCAUGUAAAUAUAGGUAAAUAUUUAUUCAGUUACUUAUUUAAAUAUAACAUAAAAGUUUGCAUACAUCUAAAUAUCUAUAUAUAACAUGUAAAUGUAUGUUCAAACCUUUCUAAGGCACACACUCAAUCGCGCAAACACAAUGUAGGAAAAAAUAGAAGACACAAGAUUAUACGUGGUUCAAACUAUAAAGUUUAUGUUCACGAGCAAUACAUGAGAGAAAAUUCCACUAUGAUGAAAAAUAAUAAGUUACAAUAGUUCAUAACUCUCCAAAUCCUAAUCCCAAUAGAUUUACCCAAAAUCUCUCAAUAUGCUAAAAUAGGCAAAAUUUACAAUAUUUAUACUGACCCCUUCUCUAUGGGGGGUGUUGCUUCCGAUAUAUAUAUAUAUACCAAGGACGCAACGGGAUCGAGAGGGCGAUGAACUAACAGGGAA